UAUCAAGCUACUAAGGGCUUACGGUGGAUGCCUUGGCGCCAGGUAGCGAUGAAGGGCGUGACAAACUGCGAAAAGCUUCGGGUAGUUGUUUAGUGAACAUUGAUCCGGAGAUCCCCGAAUCGGGCAACCGGGCAGGUAUGACCUGUCAUCCCGGCGUAUGUCGGGAGGCUAACCAGGAGAAGUGAAACAUCUCAGUAACCUGAGGAACAGAAAGAAAACUCGAUUCCCCCAGUAGUGGCGAGCGAAAAGGGAAUAGCCCAAACUGGGUAUAUGUUAAAGUCCAUAUACGUUGUAUACCUAGGGUUGUGGGGUAAUGUUGGGCUUGAAUAUGGUCAAGCCGGGAAGUUAUAAACCAAGUGCUUAGCUUAAUGUGUCUGGAAUAGACCAACCAAAGAGGGUAAUAGUCCCGUGAGCGAAAAGGGCUUGGCUUCCUGAACGUUAUUCCCAAGUACUAUGGGAUAGCCUAAACCUGUAGGAAUCUAGGAGGACCACCUCCUAAGGCUAAAUAUGACUUGGCGACCGAUAGUGAAGAAGUACUGUGAAGGAAAGGUGAAAAGUUCCCCCGCUAGGGAAGUGAAAUAGUCCCUGAAACCGUACAGCCUACAAGCUGUGGAAGUGCUAAGUCUCGAUUCGUCGAGACAUGCAUGACUGCGUGCCUUUUGCAUAAUGAGCCGGUGACUUACUCUGUGUAGCAAGGUUAAGCUUUUCUGAAGCGUAGCCGUAGCGAAAGCGAGUCUGAAUAGGGCGAAAGAGUUGCAUGGAGUAGACCCGAAACUGGGUGAUCUAUCCAUGGGCAAGGUGAAGCAUACGUAAAAGUAUGUGGAGGCCUGAACCCACCAAGGCUGAAAACUUGGGGGAUGACCUGUGGAUCGGAGUGAAAGGCUAAUCAAACCCAGUGAUAGCUGGUUCUCCCCGAAAUAGCUUUAGGGCUAGCCUCAUGUGUUUGGCAGUGGUGGUAGAGCUCUGAUUGGACUAGCGGCCCCACCAGGUUAGCAACUCCAGUUAAACUGCAAAUGCCAUUGUCUCAAGCAUGGGAGUCAGUCAGUAGGGGAUAAGCUCUACUGACAAAAGGGAUAAGAGCCCAGAUCGCCAGCUAAGGUCCCCAAAUACAGGCUAAGUGGUAAAGGAUGUGUCGUUGCCCAGACAGCCAGGAUGUUGGCUUAGAAGCAGCCAUUCAUUUAAAGAGUGCGUAAUAGCUCACUGGUCAAGUGGCUUUGCACCGAAAAUUCUCGGGGCUCAAGCCUGUUACCGAAGCUGCGGAUUUUGACCCACGUGCCGGUUCGCCGACAGCGGGGUUGAAGUGGUAGGGGAGCGUUCUAUAGUAGGAUGAAGGUGGAUUGAAAGAUACGCUGGACAAAUUAGAAGUGAUUAUGCCGGCAUGAGUAGCGAUAAAACAAGUUAGAAGCUUGUUCGCCGAAAGCCUAAGGGUUCCUGGAGGGUUAGUCGGAUCCUAAGCUGAGGCCGAAAGGCGUAAGCGAUGGGUAGCAGGCAUAAUAUUCCUGCACCACCAUUACAAGGACGAAGCUAGGGGAGACGCAGGCAUUAGGACCUACCAGCGGAUGGAUGUGCUGGGCUAAGCCCGACAGAGGUGACUUCAGGUAAAUCCGAAGUCUCACGACUCUGAGAGGUGAUAGGGAUUCCGUAAGGAUACAAACUGGUCUAGUUGUCUGCCAAGAAAAGAACCUCGAGUGGACGCGUAAUGGUGUCCGUACCGCAAACCGACACAGGUAGGCGAGGAGAGAAUCCUAAGGCGCUCGAGAGAACUCUCGCUAAGGAACUCGGCAACUUUUAGUAGGAGCAGCAUCUUGCAUGCGAAUCCGAAAAAAGCCGCAGUGAAGUGGUCCGUGCGACUGUUUACUAAAAACACAGGUCUCUGCAAAAUCGUAAGAUGAUGUAUAGGGACUGACGCCUGCCCGGUGCCAUAUGGUUAAGGGAAAGAGUCAAGGGUUCGCCCGGCAGCUCUGAACCGAAGCUUCAGGUAAACGGCGGCGGUAACUAUAACCGUCCUAAGGUAGCGAAAUUCCUCGUCGGGUAAAAUCCGACCUGCACGAAUGGCGUAACGACAUGGACACUGUCUCGGCGAGAGACUCGGCGAAAUUGUAAUACCGGUGAAGAUGCCGGUUACCCGUAACAGGACGGAAAGACCCCGUGAACCUUUACUACAGCCUGAUAUUGGGUUUUAAUGUAGCUUAUGUAGGAUAGGUGGGAGACUGUGAAACUGGGGCGCCAGCUUCAGUAGAGUCGAUCUUGAAAUACCACUUUUGCUGCAUUGAGAUUCUAACUCUGGUUCGUAAUCCGGAUCGAAGACAGUGUCAGGUGGGUAGUUUGACUGGGGCGGUCGCCUCCCAAAAUGUAACGGAGGCGCCCUAAGGUUCCCUCAGCGCGAUUGGAAACCGUGCGUAGAGUGUAAAGGCAGAAGGGAGCUUGACUGCGAGACAGACAUGUCGAGCAGGUGCGAAAGCAGGGCUUAGUGAUCUUGCGGUUCUGUGUGGAAAGGCCGUGACUCAACGGAUAAAAGGUACUCCGGGGAUAACAGGCUGGUCGCGCCCAAGCGUUCAUAGCGACGGCGCGGUUCGGCACCUCGAUGUCGGCUCAUCACAUCCUGGGGCUGCAGCAGGUCCCAAGGGUUGGGCUGUUCGCCCAUUAAAGUGGUACGUGAGCUGGGUUUAGAACGUCGCAAGACAGUUCGGUCCCUAUCCGUUACGGGCGUAGGAUAUUUGAGAGGACCUGCCGCUAGUAUGAGAAGACCGUGGUGGACGAACCUCUAGUGUACCAGUUGUCGCGCCAGCGGCACCGCUGGGUAGCUAUGUUCGGAAGAGAUAAACGCUGAAAGCAUCUAAGCGUGAAGCUCGCCUCAAGAUAAGAUAUGCUGCAGAGUUAAUCUGGUAAGGCUCCUUUGAGACUAAAAGGUUGAUAGGCCAGAGGUGUAAGCGGUGCGAACCGUUUAGCUGACUGGUACUAAUAAGCCGAGGGCUUGAUAAC
rnacentral:rRNA from 1 species